UACAGAGGGUGCGAGCGUUACUCGGAAUUACUGGGCGUAAAGCGUGCGUAGACGGUUGCAUAAGUCGAAUGUGAAAUCCCCGGGCUCAACCUGGGAAUUGCAUUCGAGACUGUGUAGCUGGGGUGCGGAAGAGGGAAGCGGAAUUUCCGGUGUAGCGGUGAAAUGCGUAGAUAUCGGAAGGAACAUCAGUGGCGAAAGCGGCUUCCUGGUCCAGCACCGACGUUCAGGCACGAAAGCGUGGGGAGCAAACAGG
rnacentral:rRNA from 1 species